CUGGUAAGGAUGUACCUUUGGAAGGGCCUGCUGAAAAAGAAGAUAUGCAGCCACAUGCUCCAGCUGAUGCAGGGGUAAAGAAAGAGGUGGGAAAUGUGCAAGUGGAGACUUCAGAUUCUGAAACUGAGGCAGUACUUAAACCAAAAUUAGAGUCCGGGAUGAACAGUCCAGCAUCUGACUGUGAAACUGAAAAAAGUUUGUUAAAGCAGUGGGCACAUUUCAGCCAAGAUGAAAACACCUCAGAUGCAGUUGAGAUGAGACAAGAAAUGAGCUGUUCCAUGGUAGGAACAAAUGAGACAGAUGAUGAGGAUAAGCUGUACCCUGAUGGAGAAGAGAUGGCUACGUGGAAUAGUGUAAUAGAAAGGAAGGUUGAUCUGGAGAUGGAUGAUGGCACAAAAAAAGAUGAAGCAAAAAGACAACAUGCUGAACCAGAGGAAGACAUGUCACCAAAAGAACCUGAGCAAGAAAAGAGAGAAAUUAGGGAGGAGUUUUCCACAGAUGUACAAGUCAAAGACAUGGCCGCUUCAGUUUGGGACACACAAGCAGAUGAAGAUGUGCAGCAUGCUGCAUUAGACCGAGAGCAAGUUCUGUUUCCUGACAAAGAAGACGAUGAAGACGAGGACUCUCAAAAGGGUUCGGUGUCAUGGAGGACUGAGCUGGAGAGCGACAGCUAUGCUCAGGAUAACACUUUUCCUGACCCUCGUCCUCUGAUUCGAUACAAAAGUGACGAGACUGACGUCCACGCUCAGGCACUGCACACGGAAGAGAGCGAGUCCAGCGAUGGUGAACAGGAAAAGAAAAUCGGCGAGCCGGGCACCGGAACAUGGAACGAAGACAAGUCAAAGAGAUUUGGAACUAUGGAAGAUCUGUGUGAAGAAGUUGAAGAGGAAGCACUGGAUGAGGAUUAUGAUCUGGGAUACACACACACUGAGGACUGGGAUGAGGACAGGGACAGUGAUUAUGCUACGUCAAUGAAUGAUGCCAAAAAUGCAGAUGAAGGGAUCCAGAGACUCAGUGAGAGACAGUUAGAUGAAGAAAGUGAAGAAUUUACCAAACUCAUGGUGCCCACAAAUGUACAUUAUGAUGAAGAGUUAGACAGACUUGAGGAACAAGAAUUAGAAAAGCUGUGCACAGACAAGUAUAGUACUCACUUUGCACAGCAGCAGCUCAGUGAGACUGAGGAAACACCACAGGACUGCAGGGCUGCUGAGAAAAUUAUACAUCAAGAAGAGGCUGCAAACAUAAAAACAGAUGACACAUAUUCCUCCUCAGAGCCUGGACUGAGCCAUGAACUUACGUCUUCCACUACAAUUCCAAAUCAGCGUUAUGAGAACCCACGUUUCAGUGAGUCAUCAGUGGCCAAAGCUCUGACAGACAUUGCGGCUGAUGAAGAAAUACAGCAUGAAGACGAAAAAGUUCCAGAUAGAGCAAAGGGGAAUAAACAUGUGUCCAUGAUAAGACAUGUUGACAGAACAGACAUGGAGGCAAUCAGCAGCUCAGAGGAUCCAAACUCCACAUCACAGCAAAACCUGGAGGAUGUGGGUUCAGAUACUGAGGUGAAAGGCGAUUUACCUGUAGAUGGGUCCAGCAGGUCUCAGGAGAAUCAAGUUGAGGGUGUUGCACCCUGGCAGCCAGUCCCAGAAACAGCUGAGGUCCAACAGAACCAAAGUGAGGACUCAGAAAUCAGAGACAAGAACGAACAAGAUCAAAAAUGUGAUAAUGUCCCUGAAUUAGUUGAAAGUCACAACAACAAAGGACCUGACGACACACACAAAAAGGAACCGCUUGAGAUCAGCUUUCCUGACAUCUUUGCAAUGAAAGACUCCACAGAACUAUCAAACACAAAUGACAAAGAUGGCAGCCUCGAUGAUGUUUCCACUUCCCUUGAGUCUGGGGAAUCCUAUUUAGAGGCCAGAACCACCUACAAACCAGAUGAUGGCUGUGAUGCACCAUAUGAACAAAGCAAUCACAGUCCAGGGUUUGGUGUCGCUAACAGGUGUAGGAUGGACAGUGGCUCAAAUAGAGCCCUGGGAGCUGAAGAGGAGCAGCUUCAUUCUGAGGUGAAGCAGCCGUGGUCUAAAGAUGCUGCUGAUGAGUUGGGUCAUGCUGGGGAGUCUGAGCUUGAAUGUGAAUCUUCAUCUUUCUUUGAAGAUCCAGCAUAAAAAGGAGUCACGUGCUGAAGUUAAACCAGUUGUAGUGCAUGUUUCAGAGAUGUCAUUUGAAUGUCUACUAUCACUGCCUAAUCUGAUUUGACUGAUGGAAAUCAGUGGAUGCUGCAGUGAAGAAGCUGCUGUGUCACAGUAUUUCAACCAGCCACUGUGCGUUAUCUCAUUCAACAUAAUCUAAACUUUGAAUAAACAAACAUAUGUUGACUUAGGUUUUUUAAAUUGAUCUUGGUUUUAUUUCCACCUAUGAUGUCUUUGCUGCAGUACCUUUACAGCCAAAAUAAACUGUAGAUGAUAGAAA
ensembl:lncRNA